rnacentral:lncRNA from 1 species
UUACUCCUGCUUGGCAAGUGGCGUUUAUAUUAUACCUUGCUAUCAGUUAUAGGCUAUCGGAUUAAGUUUCAGUAAAGUAACCCUAGUAUUACUAAUCUUACUUCUAUUGCAAUCUGUUUAAAACCGCCUUCUCAUCUCGCCACGCUGGAUCUCAUCGUAGGUACGAUGGCUUGCGCUGUUUAUUACGUUUUUGCCCUUUUUUUAUGCUUUUUCCACUUUUCUUGCUUCUAGGACAAGUAACUUCACUUUUCCAGGUAUUUGCUUGCUUUUGUGCUUCAAUUGCGAUUAAAACUACCUUAAAUUACUACUAAAA